CAAUAGCGUAUAUUUAAGUUGUUGCAGUUAAAAAGCUCGUAGUCGGAUUUUGGCUGAGAACGAACGGUCCGCCGUUUCGGUGUGCACUUGCUACGCCCACCUUGCUGCCGGGGACGUGCUCUUGAGUUCACGCUCGGGACACGGAGUCGGCGAGGUUACUUUGAGUAAAUUAGAGUGUUCAAAGCAGGCCUACGCUCUGAAUACAUUAGCAUGGAAUAACACGAUAGGACUCUGGCCUAUCUUGUUGGUCUGUAGGACCGGAGUAAUGAUUAAGAGGGACAGUCGGGGGCAUUCGUAUUUCAUUGUCAGAGGUGAAAUUCUUGGAUUUAUGAAAGACGAACUACUGCGAAAGCAUUUGCCAAGGAUGUUUUCAUUAA
rnacentral:rRNA from 1 species